rnacentral:rRNA from 1 species
UACGGAGGAGGCAAGCGUUAUCCGGAAUUAUUGGGCGUAAAGCGUCCGUAGGUGGUUGUUCAAGUCUUCUGUCAAAGCGCGGAGCUUAACUCCGUAAAGGCAGAGGAAACUGAGCGGCUAGAGUGCGAUAGGGGCAGAGGGAAUUCCCAGUGUAGCGGUGAAAUGCGUAGAUAUUGGGAAGAACACCGGUGGCGAAGGCGCUCUGCUGGGUCUGCACUGACACUGAGGGACGAAAGCUAGGGGAGCGAAAGGG